AAUAAAGGAGAGACUCAUGUUACUGCCUGCUGCCUCUCACAAACUGAAGUUAGAGAAAGUGGGAGAGAGAAUUAUCACCAUUUUCUGUUUUAAGGGCUCUGUGAUGUCAGUACUGGAAAAGGCCAAGAGAGAGAAAAAAGCCAGUAACCAGAGAGAGAGAGAGAAGCAAGUCAACGCCGUGUGUGUGUGUGUGUGUGUGUGUGUGUGUGUGUGUGUGUGUGUGUGUGUGUGUGUGUGCCCGCCCAGUUUAAGUCACUGAAAAAGCAAACAUAAGCAGUAAAUAAACACACCUUAUGUUGUGUCAAGCCUGAUUCCCAGUCCCUCAUUUCCCACGAGCAUCAAAAGUGUUACAGUCUGUUUUGUUUUUUUCAGCCUAAUGAUGGCCUCCUUCACUCACAUCAACACCUCUUUGGACCACAUACUGAGAGUACCUAUGAACAACUGCCAAAUGCAAAUUCAACAUGGAAUCAACUCUAGACUUUUAACACUGCAACCCUGCUAUAACAAGCUAUUUUACUACGAACUUUUGCAUAUGAUGAACUAAGUUUGUGUCCCCCGCCUUUAAUGACAAUGAACCAGAGUCUUCAAAAAAAAAAAACAUUGCUGUGUAACAUCCGUGCGCGCUGCAUGCUCCAAGCACCAUAAAGACUAAUUACAGUACUAUGUACCUGUUCCGGAUUAGAGUGCAAUCACAGCACAUGCUUAUAAGGACUCUCUAAAACACACAGACUUGGAGAAAUAUGCAUUCUGUACCUAGUGUCUCACUUUACCAAGCCUUGUAUUGGUGUAUUGCCUUUCUGGUUUGUUUUGUGUAUUUGGACUCUGCCUUUCAUCUUUGCCUCCGCCAUUCUGUUUGUGCCUCGCUUGACAUUUGCCCGUUUCAUGACCCUGCCUUUGUAUUACGUUUUUUAACUGUUUGCCUGCCUGCUUAUAAAUAAACACUCUUCCUGCAAUUAUAUCCAUCAUUCACCUGCUUACAUGACACACUGAGCCAUGCGUUCCUGUUCCUACCAGACACAAACAAUAAGUCAUCAAGUAAGUAAACAAAGGCUUAACUAGCCUAGCUUAGGUGUUAAUCACUAACAAUUAUCAAGAACAGUGAUCAAAGGAUCGAUAAAAGGAUGAAAUGACUGCUGAUACCGCUAAACCUAGUUAAAGUGUACCAGUGGUCUUUUUGUACCCCCCCACCCAGCCCUACAGCACAACAUAAAUGACAUCAUUGGUAUUUUGCAACACAUGAAUGAACUGAAUGGUGAAGAUUUAGAAAAUAUAGCAAGUCAGUGGAUGGACAUUGACAACGAUACACUGGUAACCUCAGUCAUUUCUAUAACAGACGAAGAAAUCAUCACCUCCGUUCAUGAUCCUUUAACUCAAUCCAUGAACUAUGAUAGUGACUCAGAAGGAGAAAUUUGUGAGAAGGAGAAUGUGGCAAAAAUUUUACAUAUAAUGUGAGUGUUUGGUGUGACAAGUGGGUCAAUUUCAGUACCAUGAACUUUUCAGUAUAACAAACUAUUUGGACGUCCCCCCCCAGGGGUUUGUUAUAGUAGGGUUGCAGUGUACCACCUUAUUUCGUUAUGAAAUAAUGAGGAAACAGGCUAUAACUGGGCAUGAAACUUCUUAUUAGUCAAUUGCCCAAUUACUUUUGAUCAUAUGAAAAUGGAGGGACUAUGUAAAAAUGGCUGUAAUUUGUA